CAGCCGCCGCGGGAAUACGAAGGGUGCAAGCGUUACUCGGAAUUACUGGGCGUAAAGCGUGUGUAGGUGGUUGUUUAAGUCUGUCGUGAAAGCCCUGGGCUCAACCUGGGAAUUGCGAUGGAUACUGGGCGACUAGAGUGCGGUAGAGGAUAGUGGAAUUUCCGGUGUAGCAGUGAAAUGCGUAGAGAUCGGAAGGAACAUCUGUGGCGAAGGCGACUAUCUGGGCCAACACUGACACUGAGACACGAAAGCGUGGGGAGCAAACAGGAUUAGAUACCCCAGUAGUACCUGUCUCUUAUAC
rnacentral:rRNA from 1 species